UAGCCAUGCAUGUCUAAGUAUAAGCACUUGUACUGUGAAACUGCGAAUGGCUCAUUAAAUCAGUUAUCGUUUAUUUGAUUGUACCUUACUACAUGGAUACCUGUGGUAAUUCUAGAGCUAAUACAUGCGAAAAGUCCCAACUUCUGGAAGGGAUGUAUUUAUUAGAUUAAAAACCAAUGCAAGUCUUCGGGCUCGUUUUCUUGGUGAUUCAUGAUAACUUUUCGAAUCGCAUGGCCUAGAGCCGGCGAUACUUCAUUCAAAUUUCUGCCCUAUCAACUGUCGAUGGUAAGGUAGUGGCUUACCAUGGUUAUAACGGGUGACGGAGAAUUAGGGUUCGAUUCCGGAGAGGGAGCCUGAGAAACGGCUACCACAUCUAAGGAAGGCAGCAGGCUCGAAAAUUACCCAAUCCCGACUCGGGGAGGUAGUGACAAGAAAUAACGAUACGGGGUCUUAAUAGGUCUCGCAAUUGGAAUGAGUACAAUUUAAAUCCUUUAACGAGGAUCAAUUGGAGGGCAAGUCUGGUGCCAGCAGCCGCGGUAAUUCCAGCUCCAAUAGCGUAUAUUAAAGUUGUUGCAGUUAAAAAGCUCGUAGUUGGAUUUCGGAGUGGGCCAGUUGGUCCGCCGCAAGGUGUGUUACUGACUGGUUUGCUCUUCUUCGCAAAGACUGCGUGUGCUCUUGAGUGAGUGUGCGUAGAAUUUACGACGUUUACUUUGAAAAAAUUAGAGUGUUCAAAGCAGGCUAUUGCUUGAAUACAUGAGCAUGGAAUAAUGGAAUAGGACUUUGGUCCCAUUUUGUUGGUUUCUAGGGCCGAAGUAAUGAUUAAGAGGGACAAUUGGGGGCAUCCGUAUUUCGUUGUCAGAGGUGAAAUUCUUGGAUUUACGAAAGACGAACAACUGCGAAAGCACUUGCCAAGAGUGUUUUCAUUAAUCAAGACGAAAGUUAGGGGAUCGAGACGAUCAGAUACCGUCCUAGUCUUAACCAUAAACUAUGCCGACUAGAGAUGGGAGGCUGUUGCUUUUC
rnacentral:rRNA from 1 species